ensembl:lncRNA
GUGUGACCUUGGGAGGCGCUUCGGGGCUCUGAGCCGGUUUCCUCUUCUGAAAACCCGUAAUCAUAACUGCACCUCUUGCAGUGAGGAGGCAAUGUGGAACGCGGAGCCCACGUGUGCCCGGCACUUGGCAAGUACUGGGGAAGGGAUUAGGAAGGGCAGGAGUUACAUCACUCAUUUCUUUUUACAGCUGAGAAAACAAGCGGAGGAGGCUCAGGGAGGUAAGGCCGGUUGCCCAAGGUCACACAGCCCAGUAGGAGGAGGAUGGGGCCCCAGCGAGGCUGGCUGACUUGUGCUCUAAUCACUGAGCCCUCUGGCCGCAGGCCCGCCCGCCCAAGUACCUUUCCCUGUCUCCGUGGCCCGUGGACCCCGAAGGCUGCGUGGGGCCACGGGGACAAGUGGCAAGGCCGAGGCUGAGCCCACUGGGCCGGAAGGGUUAACGCGCUCCGCCGCAAUGGGCCGGCCUCCGGGGGAACCAGCCAAUGGGCACGCGCCGCGAUGAGCCUUACAGCCGCAGAAACCUCUGUGCUGGAGCCGAGUCUCAGGCGGCCCCGCGACCCUUAAGGUCUGCGGCAUAUGAACCUGAAGAGAGGUCCUGCCUCCUUUGAGCCUCAGUUUCCCCUUUUGCAAGAAGAUCGCUGAAGACGCGACUAGCUGGCCCUGGGGGACACCUCCAAAUCCUCCAGGACCAGAGUGUGUCUGACCAGGCCAGACCAGCUCAAGGAGGAUGAUGGAUGGAGGAGGACCUCAGCCACCAGUCACAGCCCUGGAAGUCUUGGACACACACACACACAUACCCACACAUGAAACCGCUGUGGAACCUGGAAGCAGCAUCUGGCCCCCUCCCCAAGGGAGCUGGGGCAGGUAGUGCUGGGAUAUUGGGUUAUUGACUGGGGCGGGGGCCAUGUCUGUAUGCUUUCAACUACUUCAGGGGCCCGAGGAAGCCUUGCAGCAGCGACCCAGGGUCACCCACGCCCUCUACCCACCUUGGGUCCCAGUUGAUCUUCUCCCAGGGUGCGAGGGCAGAUCUGCUUAGCCUGGGGCUGCCCUUAAUACAGGGGUCCAGUGGCUCAGCUGAGGCCUGAUUCCAGAUAGUGGCUGGUGCUGUGGCUUGACCACCUGCAGCUCUGACCUCACCUUGAGACUCUUGGACCACAUGGAUUUGUGGCUUUCCCAUCAGUCCUGCUACCUACCGUUAGCACACAACCCCCCAGGGUGGGUGCACAUCAUAAAGUCAAGGUGAAGCUGAAGGAACAAACUUGAAUCCAGACUCGUUGCCCGGCUGGCUGUGAGCACUGGCCUCUUGUGCCUCAGUUUCUUCAUCUGAAAAAUGGGCCUAAUAAUGGCAGAGGCAGAGAAAUGGUGAAGGUAAGGCCCUUAGCAAGGAAAGGGGCUUGUCCCAGGUCACCUGCGGCCCUGAAGCUCCCCCAUCAGUAUGGGUUGCAGGCCUUCAAGGUGGAGGAGAAUUGGGCUUACCGCCAUGUCCCACCACGGGUUGGGUGGUGGUAUUGUUCCUAUCUGCAGGUGAGAAGAGAAAGGCUCAGAGAAAUUGGUAACUGGCCCUACAGGACAGGAAGGGUGCAAAUUCUCAGGCCUGCUCUCUCCCUGGGAUUUGGGAUUCCAUUCCCACAGCCCUCGCCCUCCUCCAGAUAGAAAAACUAAAGUGCAAAAUGCAUUUCCCCUGCAGGACAUCCUCCUCCCUCUCCCCAAAACCACACAGUGACCCUGGCCUGGCCCUCUGCGCCCAGGAGGAGCAGGGUCCCCAUCAGGCAUCUCGGAGCUGGCUUUCACAUCGAUGGAGCACAAAGGGGGCUAGCCCGGCAGAGAAAGAGCCCGACAGGCCAGGAGCCGGCUCCACGGGCGCUUUUCUCCCCGCUUUCUUCCUCUCUGGGCUCUUUGUUAAGCUCCCUUUCAGCUGAGCCGGCAGAGCCUGGGUGUUCCGAGCUGACAAUAAUUGCUGCGUCUAGACAGUGUCUGGUAUGAGGCCUCCCUCUCCCGCGCCUCCCCAAGGCUCCCUUUCCCAGCGCUGCCGGCCCUGCCCCAUGCCCUGCGGUUCCCACACCCCUUCCCUUCUUUCUGGCUGCCCAGGGUCCCCGUUCUGCCUUCCUCCUGCUCAGACCCUACACUUCUCUCUCCUUCUCCCCCUUCCAUCUUCAGACACACUCACCCUAUUGGGUCCCCAGGCCUGAAAUCCAGGGAACAAAAGUGGAUUUGCAUUUGGCUCCAGUUGGCAGGCCUUGGAGAAGGCCGAGUCCAGCCAACCCUCCUGACUGUGGACUUGCCCAGGAUCCCAGGCGGUCCACCUUGCUGAAUUCUGGGCUAACCUGGAAAGCUCUGGGAUUCACCCUGCUCCCUCCCUCAUCUUUCCACCCAUGCUUGGAUGGGAACCCAGAGGAAUCACCAGAGGUCCAAGGAAGAACCUUCUGGCAGCUCUCACCAUCAGUGAGGGAUAGACUGCUUUCAGGAAAUGCAGGGAGUGGGAAGUGGAUUUUCACAAGUUCUAAGAUUUGUCCCUGCCCCCGCUCCGAUCAGUCAUUCUGGAAGGUUUUCCAGAAUCUGAAGUCUCCUCACUUCUCAAUUCUAGGAUCAGAAUUGAGACCCUAGUGGUGAUUCUGAGACAGUAAUAAUAAUAGUCGGCCCUCUCCCUGCACCAGGGGCCUCCCGGGUGGCUCAGUGGUUAAGAAUCCACCUGCCAAGCAGGAGAUACGGGUUCAAUCCCUGGGUCAGGAAGAUCCCCUGGUGGAGCAACUCACUCCAGUAUUCUUGCCUGGAAAAUUCCACGGACAGAGGAGCCUGGUAGGCUACAGUCCAUGGGGUCACAAAGAGUUGGACACGACUGGAGAAUUGAGCAUACCCUCCCUGAGACAAGCAUCAUACAGGGUCGGUCCUCAUCUUCAGCUGCUCUUCCCUUCUGCAGAGUCAUUUUGAUUUUGCACCGACUCCUUCCUCACAGGUGUUCACACCUUCCACCCCAGCUAGAGAUGAAAGGAGGACACUCACCAUUCAGUACUCACCCAGGCCAUCCAUCGACAGAAACGUCAGAUAGCGCAUCCACGCCUGAUCACCUCUCUCGGCUGCUGGGGGAGCCCACACAAGCAGGCGCAUCGAUGAGCUCCCGGCCUGCCAACUCUGGGCCUGCCUCAGACUGAUGCAGCUGGGUGGUGGCUUCUCUGGACUUCGCUUGAAAGGCGUAGCCUGGACCUUGCCGGGAGCCAUGGGUGCAGAGCACGCACCUCUGGCCUCUAUCUUGAAACACUGGACUGUGGAUCUGAUGCUGGGAGUUCAGACUGGAAAAGGAGAAACAUAGGAACCAGCAGGCGAUAUAAGGCCAGCGGGGAUGGUCUGGGAGCAGUAACGGCGAAGAUCACGGAGGCCCACCGUCCUGCACUCCAAAUCCCUGGCUACAUAGGUUCAGAACUCAGAAUUUCCCCAGUUGUAGGAGGAAAGGAUUACACGUAGACCACAUAUCUCCUAACACCCCCAGUGAAGUGUGGGGCAGCCCCUGUAAUCAGACGUGUUACCAGGCCUGCGGCAAAGCCUACGAACAAAGACACAAAUCCUCUCUGAAGCUCAGUUUUCUCGUCUCUAACGUGGAGCAAUGGCUGUACCAGGCUCACAGGGUUGCCCUGAGAAUUUGAUGCUUCCCGUGAUACCGGCCAGCCCGCAGGAGACACAGGUUCUUGGCCUGCCCCGAGCCCUCUGGGGCACGUGCUGCUCCUUUCCGGAAUAUUCAUCCCUAGAUGUCUCAGGAGAUAGCUCUCUCACUUCCUUCAGGACCCGCCCCAGCAGGACUUGCCCUGUCUAUCCCCGUCUCCUCCCGCCCCUGUUCUCCUUUGUCUUCCUUCCCAACCUCUAUCAUUUGAAGUAUCACUUAAAUCAAUUACUCCCUUGUUAAUUGCCUGCCCUCCUGCAGUAGAUUCCAAGCUCCGUGUAGUCAGGACUCUGUGCUGUCGCCCACUUUGCCCCAGAACUUAGGAAAGAGCUGGCACAGACGGGCGCUCUGACUUCUGUUGAAUGGGCGACAGUCUGUUAAAUGUGCCUUGUGCAUCGAAAAGGCUCAGUGAGGCCCAGCCCUGCACCAUCAGCCUUGUUAUUAUUGAUGCUGCUGUUAUUAUUUACUUUUUAGUUGCCCCAGGGCAUGUGGCAUCUUCCUGGACCAGGGAUCAAACCCAUCUCCUCUGCAUUGGCAGGUGGAUUCUUAACCACUCCACCACCAGGGAAGUCCCACUAUUAUGAAUAUUAUUAUUAGUAUCAUUACUCUGUUCCUGAGCUGAUCCCAGUCCUUGGUUCUCCAGCCUCUGAAAUGAGCAUCCUGGGGACUGAGGCAUCAGCCACCAGAAACAGAACAGGUUCUUGCUGGAGAGACAAAGGAGGCUGCCCGCCGCCCUGGGGGAGCCUGCGCCCCUCACUGGAGAGAGAGGCCUGGGAGAAGCUUGGAGAAGGCACACAGCCCCAUUGAACAGGGCUGCCAGAAGGCCAUACAUAAUUCAUUGCCAAAUGGGGCGGCGGGCGGCUGUGCGCUGGGGGCUCACUCCGCGCCUGGCACUUUGCUGACUGCUCCUCACACGUUGCCUCGUUGCAUCUUCUUGGAUUUGUGGGGUGCGAACCUUCCCCCGCCUCUCCCUUUUCCCCGGGGGGGAGCCUGAGGUUUAGAGGAUGGGGCCACCGUGCAAGUCACCAGCUUCUCAGUGGCCAAGCGGGAUCCACAGUCCCUGCCUCUCUCUGGAGGAAAGAGACAGCACUGGGGACCGAGUGGGGACUGAGACCUACCCGAGACGGGGCAGCAGAGGACGGGCCGGGUCACAGCAGGGCCAAAGGAAAAGGGCAGGGGACCCGCAGCCCACCUCCUCCUCCUCUCCUGGAGGACAAGCUCCCUGCUGUGGCCGCCAAGAGUGCUGGCUCUGGAGUUUCAAGGGCUCAGUUUGCUCAGCUGCAAAGUGGGAGGAACAGAACCCAUCCCCUGGGGCUCCGAGGUCCUGUAGACAGGAUGCUGGCUCAGAAAGGGGCAUCCGCCCAGGAGGAAAGCCAGUCCCCAAAAAGGUUACAUCCUCUGUGAUUCCCUUCAGAUAGCAUAUUUGAAGUCAUACAAUGAUAUGAUGGAGGACAGACUAGGGACACACUGGAUGGAGGUAGAGUCGGGGUGUGCUUUUGAAAGAGCCCCAGGAGGGAUCCUUGUGCUGAUGGAAAUGUCCUGCAUCCUCCCUGUGACGGAGGAUCUACAAUUUCAUCCUGUGAUGAAAUUGUAUAGAACUAGACACACAAAAGCGUGUAAGGGAAACUGGGGAAUCGGAGUAAGACUGGGGGCCAUGUCGACGUCUACAUCCCAGCCCUGAUACUGUCCCUGUUGUUCCGCUCGAUGCUUCCACUGGGGGAAGCUGGGUGAAGGGCACAGGGGGUCUCUCUGUACUACUUCCUACAACUGCACGUCCAUCUACAACCAUCUCAGUGGAGACGUCAAUUUUUAAAAAUGUCAUCUGGAGAAUUCCCUGGGGGUCCAGCGGUUAGGCCCUCACGGCUGAGGGCCCGGGUGUGAUCCCUGGUCAGGGAACUAGGAUCCCUCGUGUGGCACAGCCCCCCCAAAACAAAACAAUGUCAUCUGCCUCUGCCCCAGAAAGGAUUGCAUGAACCACCGCAAUUCGUCCUUUCCUCAGCUCUGAAUUGUCCUUUCUGCCUCACUCUGAGGGUCCCCAGUCUUUAUUCCAGAAUGUUCCUGUUGUCUCUCACUUUUGCCUAGACAGGACUUCAGUACUACCCCGUGGGAAUCUAGACAGACCCUAGAGGAGGACAAGGAAGGCCUUUGUCAUCUGUCUCCUGUCUGCAUCCAGCUGGGAAUCACAGCCACGCCAAGGCUCCCAGUCAGGAUUAUGAAAACCGUGAGCCCACCAGCCUUGGUCUUCCUCUCCAAGAGAGUGUGGGCCAGUGGAGAGCAUGCUGAGUGUCCGGCCCUACGGCUUCCAGACCCAGCCAAUCUUCUGCCGCACAGUGUGACUCCAGACAAUCCCUGUCCUCUUUUUGGUUCCUAGUUUCCUCAUCUGAAGCACAAACGAACUGGACUGGAUUAUCCUUAGGGUUCUUCCAGGUCCGUGGAGAGGUGAGCCUGGCCCCUAUGCUGCUACUCAGGGGACUCUCCUUGACAUUUGUGUGAUUGGUUGAGAAGAGCAGGGCCCAGGCCUGCCUCGGGCCCUCCCUGCCUUUUAGCAUCAGUGCAGUGAGAGGUCAUUAAGUCACUCAAAAAACGUGCAUUGAGCACUCACCAACUGCCAAACACUGGGGAAUAAAAGGUAGGGGGUGGAAGGGCAAUGCUGUCCCUGCCUUUGCGGAACCUGCAUUCUAGGAGGGAAGAAAGCCACAAAGAAAGACAAAAUAGCAACUGAGAUCAUGCAAAGAAGGAAAGCAGCAGCUGCAUUGGCAUGUUUCAGGGCCAUGGUGAGGGCUUCCCUGGGAAGUGACCAUUGAGCCACUGAGCUGAGAUCUGAGCAAGGAGUCAACUCUAAGCAAAGAAGGGGGAAGAUGGCCAAGGGUAGAGACUCCUCCACAACAGCAGCGGCAAGAGCUGGGGGCCCGUGCAGAGCAGUGGUCUGGAGUGACAGAUCGUGUUCCAGGAAAGAUCAACAGCUUCAGUGGGUGACACAGGAGAGCCGAGAUGAGGGGAGCCAGGCUGAGGAGCCUCGUCCCCAUCCCAGACAGAAGGGAUCCUGUGAGCUGCAUUACGCAAGGGAUUUGUGUUUUGGAUUUGGAAUUUUUGUGUUGGAUUUGUGUUUUGAAAAUCUCCUCCUGGUUACCAAGAGGAGAGGAGACCUCAUGGGUCCUCCUUGUUGCCUUAUAUUUUUACCAUAGUGUUAUUGAGGCAUGUCCAAGCAUUAAAUGAAGCAUAAGGUCCUUAUAGCUCUUUUUGAAGAUUGUUUUAUUUUAUUGUUUAUUUCCGUCUGUGCUGGGUCUUUGUUGCUGCAUGCAGGCUUUCUCUAGUUGCCGCGAGUAGGGGCUACUCUCUGACUGUGAUGCGCAGGCUUGUCACUGUGGUGGCUUCUCUUGUUGCAGAGCACAGGCUCUGGGUGCAUGCGCUUCAGUAGUUGCGUUGCUUAGGCAUGUGGAAUCUUCCUGGACCAGAGAUUGUACCUGCGCUGGCAGGUGGAUUCUUCACUGCUAGACCACCAGGGAAGUCUUCCUUAUAGCUGUGAGAGCCACAAAACCAAGACAAAUUGGUCAAGCAGAUACAAAAUCAAAUCGGAUUCGUUUCAUGGGACGUAUCUUUUUUUGAAACUCUGUCACCACCUACAGUGCAACUAUGGCCCAACUACUAUGGCUCUGAGUCUGUGGGACAGAGCAGAUUGGUUUUAUGAUCCAAGAAGAAAGGGGUAGACAACUCAAGAAAAAAAACGGAAGCAAUGAAUUAAAAUACUUCACAAAUGAAUAGCCAGAUAACCAGCAAAUGCAUGAUAAAAAGUGCCCAGCUUCACGACUCAUCAAGAGGAAACACAAAUUAAGAAGACAGUGAAGUACCACGUCA